rnacentral:rRNA from 1 species
UUCCCAUUCCGAACACGGCAGUUAAGCUCUUCAGCGCCGAUGGUAGUUGGGGGUCUCCCCCUGUGAGAGUAGGACGCCGCCA